rnacentral:rRNA from 1 species
UACGGGGGGGGCAAGCGUUGUUCGGAAUUACUGGGCGUAAAGCGCGCGUAGGCGGCCUGUGCAAGUCAGUUGUGAAAUCUCCGGGCUUAACUCGGAACGGUCAACUGAUACUGCUCGGCUAGAGUGCGGAAGGGGCAACUGGAAUUCUUGGUGUAGCGGUGAAAUGCGUAGAUAUCAAGAGGAACACCUGCGGCGAAGGCGGGUGGCUGGGCCGACACUGACACUGAGGAGCGAAAGCCAGGGGAGCAAACGGG